ACGGUAUGAUGGGGACAUUUUCGGAUGAGAUCCUUUAAUCUUUCCCAUAAUUCAUGGAACUGCUCACUAUCGUGCUGUGAAAACCUAGUGAGAGCUCGCCUUAUCU
rnacentral:snoRNA from 1 species